UGAGGAAUAUUGGUCAAUGGGGGCAACCCUGAACCAGCCAAGUCGCGUGAAGGAUGAAGGUCUUAUGGAUUGUAAACUUCUUUUAUACAGGAAUAAAGUGGGGGACGUGUCCCCCUUUGCAUGUACCGUGUGAAUAAGGAUCGGCUAACUCCGUGCCAGCAGCCGCGGUAAUACGGAGGAUCCGAGCGUUAUCCGGAUUUAUUGGGUUUAAAGGGUGCGCAGGCGGGAUGUUAAGUCGGCGGUGAAAUUUUGCAGCUCAACUGUAAAAGUGCCUUCGAUACUUGCCUCCUUGAGUGUGGAUGAAGUAGGCGGAAUUUGUGGUGUAGCGGUGAAAUGCUUAGAUAUCACGAGGAACUCCGAUUGCGCAGGCAGCUUACUAAGCCACAACUGACGCUCAUGCACGAGGGCGUGGGGAUCAAACA
rnacentral:rRNA from 1 species